rnacentral:rRNA from 1 species
GACGAACGCUGGCGGCGUGCUUAACACAUGCAAGUCGAACGGAAAGGCCCUGCUCUUGUGGGGUGCUCGAGUGGCGAACGGGUGAGUAACACGUGUGUAACCUGCCCUUGACUUUGGGAUAACUUCAGGAAAAUGGGGCUAAUACCGGAUAGGAGCUCCUGCUGCAUGGUGGGGGUUGGAAAGUUUCGGCGGUUGUGGAUGGACUCGCGGCGUAUCAGCUUGUUGGUAAGGUAGUGGCUUACCAAGGCUACGACGGGUAGCCGGCCUGAGAGGGUGACCGGCCAAACGGGAACUGAGACAUGGGACAGACGCCUACGGGAGGCAGCAGUAGGGAAUCUUCCGCAAGGGGCGAAAGCCUGACGGAGCAACGCAGCGUGAGUGAUGAAGGUCUUCGGAGCGUAAAACUCUGUGAUUAGGGAAGAACAAAUGUGUAAGUAAAUAUGCACGUCUUGACGGUACCUAAUCAGAAAGCCACGGCUAACUACGUG